AUUGAACGCUGGCGGCAGGCUUAACACAUGCAAGUCGAGCGGGGUGAUGGUGCUUGCACUAUCACUUAGCGGCGGACGGGUGAGUAAUGCUUAGGAAUCUGCCUAUUAGUGGGGGACAACAUCUCGAAAGGGAUGCUAAUACCGCAUACGUCCUACGGGAGAAAGCAGGGGAUCACUUGUGACCUUGCGCUAAUAGAUGAGCCUAAGUCGGAUUAGCUAGUUGGUGGGGUAAAGGCCUACCAAGGCGACGAUCUGUAGCGGGUCUGAGAGGAUGAUCCGCCACACUGGGACUGAGACACGGCCCAGACUCCUACGGGAGGCAGCAGUGGGGAAUAUUGGACAAUGGGGGGAACCCUGAUCAAGCCAUGCCGCGUGUGUGAAGAAGGCCUUAUGGUUGUAAAGCACUUUAAGCGAGGAGGAGGCUCUUUUGGUUAAUACCCAAGAUGAGUGGACGUUACUCGCAGAAUAAGCACCAGCUAACUCUGUGCCAGCAGCCGCAGUAA
rnacentral:rRNA from 1 species